UCCCCGUUACCGGGGCAGUCUGGCUAGAAAAAUUCAACUAACCAUAGGGGUUGCGCUCGUUGAUGGACUUAACCAAACAUCUCACGACACGAGCUGACGACGGCCAUGCAACACCUGUCACUUGGUUCCCGAAGGCACUCUCGGCUUUCGCCAAAAUUCCAAGGAUGUCAAGCCUGGGUAAGGUUCUUCGCUUACCAUCGAAUUAAACAACACACUCCACCGCUUGUGCAGCUCCCCGUCAAUUCCUUUGAGUUUUAGUCUUGCGACCGUACUACUCAGGCGGGAUGCUUAACGCGUUAGCUUCGCUACUAACCGGGUCGAUACGGCUAACAGCUAGCAUCCAUAGUUUACGGCGUGGACUAC
rnacentral:misc_RNA from 1 species